rnacentral:lncRNA from 1 species
UUUUGUGUUGUAUUGUAGUUUACUUUAUCUCUCUACUUUUCUGUUGCUUUGUGUGAAAUUUAUGGAGUUGGAUAGUUUUGUUUAACAAGAAACAAAACUGAACUUUCUGUAUGUAUAUGGUUUAACUGAUUUAGUAUAAGCUCUUCUCCUAGGACUGUUAUGAGUAUGAUUAUUAGAUGUUAAGUAUUCAAAGUUAUUGUCUGUAUAAAACGUAUCAUUUUCUGGUGGAGUAAAGCAAAAUAAAGAUCCAUUUUGUCUCUCAGUCUCUGUUUCAAAUCCUUCAAUAGUUAAAGUUUCUUCCUCUGCUUGCUCUCUCACUGUCUCUCUGUCCUUUUAUAUCCGGCUUUGUAUAUUUUGUUUUUGAUACCUUAUUUGCUUCUAAUUACAUAGGCAAGGAUCACUUAUAAAAUGGUAGUAGUCAUUGUUUGUGGAGUUGCAAUUAAUACGGAAUGAUGGAAUUUAAUCUAUGGUGCUCUUCUUAUCAAUUAUACUGUCUUAAUUUAAGGUACAAUGUCCGAAUUUAUGAUUGUUGUGCAUCUAUUAUCUCAUUGAUUUUGACUUCUUAAUUUCGAAAUAUGUUAUAGUGAUAUGUUUCAGCGUCAUUAGCUUUUGUUGAUGGUUAAAUUGUUUGUUUUCUUUUUUAAGGUUCCUGAAGGGAGCUUCAAGCAUUGAUUAACACUUUUACUCAACGCCCUUUGAGAAAAAACAUACCUGUAUUUGCCCCCGCUGACUUGACCUUUUCUUGAUAUUUGAUUGUUCUACUUGAUGGAUGUGUCAUUAAAUUAUCUUUUAUAAUAUCUAUCGCAUGCAUUACUAUUCGUUUUGUGAUAGACUUUUUCUUCCGGUCCAAAUGAUUACUGAAAAAAACAGUGGUUUACUAUACGAAUGUUUGAUAUGUAUUACUAUUUGUUGGAAAAAAACAGUGGAUUACUAUAACAAAUGUUUGAUAUGAAUGCAACUUAUUAUGUAGAUCUUAUUCCACAGAAUUGCUAUGAUAUUUAAGCAUUUUUCAUUCGAGUCUGUGCAGUCUGUACCACUAUUUUUUGGUAUAGGUAUUCAAAUCACGCCCAAAACAUUAUAUUAUGAAAAAAUAUCAAUUCCAUAAAAUAUUAAAUAUUUUUUUUUAGUUGUUU